rnacentral:lncRNA from 1 species
UAUAAUACAGAUUACCUUUAUGUUAUACUUAUUUUUUUAUUUUUUUCCUGACUUUUAAAAAUCUUUAUUUUUUUUCUUCAAAAUUUUAAGUUAAUAUAUUUAGUCUCCCUUCAUCAGAUUCUAUCACUACUCUCGCCAUUUUUUAUAGUUUAUACCGAAAAUAUUCUUAAAAAUAAUUUUAAAUAUUCUUAUAAAAUAAUAUAAUUUGGUCAUUUCACUCUAUUCAUUAAAGCCGCAAUCCUCUAAAAAUAUUUUUAAAAUUUUAUGGACGAAAAAUGUAGAUUUUUGAAUGGCAGGAAAAAAAGUGAAAAAAAAAUGUUUAGAGUGCAAUUUUUUUUGUUUUUAAGGCUAAAUUAAAAUUUGAUUUUGAGGCCUGCGUAAUAAGUUUUUUGUGGUGCGAGAAAGUCUGCAAUGUAACAUUUACACCAUCACAUUAAUAAUCAGUCUAUCACAUUUUUUUUUUUUUUUUGAGAGAGAGAAGCAUAAUAAAAAUAUUUUUCUAAUAACCAUGACGAAUCCUGAGCUAAUUAAGAAUGUCAACGAGUCGGAUUCGUGGCAGAUUUUUAAAAACUUGAAUCUAAAUUCGAGUUUGAAUCCGAUGGAUUUUAAAAAUCCAUAUCCAAACCCGAACCCGACCAAAACUCCAAAACCCGAAUCCGAAAAUCCUAACCCGCAAUAAUUAUCUCUUUUCAAUAUUUCAAAAUAUAUUACAUUAAAUCUGAAUUUUUAAAAUACAAAAAUACAAAUAUAAAAUCAAAUAUUUAUAUGCAUAUUAUAUAUAAUAUAAAAUAAAUUUGGGUUCGGAUUAGGUAUAAUCAAAAUCCAUAUACGAAUCCAAAUCUGUCGAAUUUUUGUUUUUGAUAUCCAUAUCUGAAACUAUUUUCAUUUAGCGUUGGGUAAAUUCACUAUGUUCAUAUUUGGGUUCGGAUUCGGAUAAAUUUCAGAUAUGCGUAUCAAUUGACAUCCCUGAACCCAAAAAAAUUAUCUGGCUGGUCGGGAAUGCCACAUCAGUAAUAUAACCGAUGCAUUCUAGACUUUUUCUUACGAAUUCUACAUAUUCAUAAA